ensembl:lncRNA
AACCCACCGGUUAGGCCAGGUCAUGACAGGGCUUGCUUUUCGGCUUCAGAAGUGCCAGGGCCAAUGCUGAAUAGCUGGUAGGCAGAUGAACCCUCAGCACUAAUAAGAAGGAGGACACCAGAACAUCACUUGUUGGUACCAGUGUCCUUAUGGUGGUAUGAGUUCCCCAAAAUUGUUGAUACCAGCAUCUAUAUCCUCAGGAGGAGUCCCAGUUGCCUCCAUUCUUUAUGGGAGGCUCUUUAAGAUCAACAGGAUUGUCGCUGCUGCUGCUGCUGCUGCUAAGUCGCUUCAGUUGUGUCCAACUCUGUGUGAUCUCAUAGACGGCAGCCUACCAGGCUUCCCCGUCCCUGGGAUUCUCCAGAAACUAUUAUCACUCCUAGGAAUAUGUCCCUAAAGAUAUCGUCACCCAGAUCCAUAAAGAAAUAUGUACCAUGAUGUUUUCCACAACAUUGUGUGUAUGGAGCGGAGAUGCAGGGUGAGAAGACUGAGGGGCAUGAGGCAAGGGAUACGUAUUUC